rnacentral:rRNA from 1 species
GUGGGGAAUCUUCCGCAAUGGACGAAAGUCUGACGGAGCAACGCCGCGUGAGUGAUGAAGGUCUUCGGAUUGUAAAGCUCUGUUAAUCGGGACGAAAGAGCCUAGUGUGAAUAAUGCUAGGAAGUGACGGUACCGGAAUAGAAAGCCACGGCUAACUACGUGCCAGCAGCCGCGGUAAUACGUAGGUGGCAAGCGUUGUCCGGAAUUAUUGGGCGUAAAGCGCGCGCAGGCGGAUCUGCCAGUCUGUCUUAAAAGUUCGGGGCUUAACCCCGUGAUGGGAUGGAAACUACAGAUCUAGAGUAUCGGAGAGGAAAGUGGAAUUCCUAGUGUAGCGAUGAAAUGCGUAGAUAUUAGGAAGAACACCAGUGGCGAAGGCGACUUUCUGGACGAAAACUGACGCUGAGGCGCGAAAGCCAGGGGAGCGAACGGGAUUAGAAACCCGGGUAGUCC